CCCUUAGAUGUUCUGGGCCGCACGCGCGCUACACUGAUGCAUUCAACGAGCACCCGCUGGGCCGAGAGGUCCGGCUAAUCUUUGAACGUGCAUCGUGCUGGGGAUAGAUGAUUGCAAUUAUUCAUCUUCAACGAGGAAUUCCUAGUAAACGCAAGUCAUCAGCUUGCAUUGAUUACGUCCCUGCCCUUUGUACACACCGCCCGUCGCACCUACCGAUUGAAUGGUCCGGUGAAAUUCUCGGACGCGGACUAGCGAUGUUAAUUCGGAGCUUGACUGUGGAAGUUAAUUAAACCUUACCAUUUAGAGGAAGGUGAAGUCGUANCA
rnacentral:rRNA from 1 species